UACGUAGGGUGCAAGCGUUGUCCGGAUUUAUUGGGCGUAAAGAGCUCGUAGGCGGUUUGUCGCGUCUGCUGUGAAAACUCGAGGCUCAACCUCGGGCUUGCAGUGGGUACGGGCAGACUAGAGUGCGGUAGGGGAGACUGGAACUCCUGGUGUAGCGGUGGAAUGCGCAGAUAUCAGGAAGAACACCGGUGGCGAAGGCGGGUCUCUGGGCCGUAACUGACGCUGAGGAGCGAAAGCGUGGGGAGCGAACAGG
rnacentral:rRNA from 1 species